rnacentral:rRNA from 1 species
UACGUAGGUGGCAAGCGUUGUCCGGAUUUACUGGGCGUAAAGAACGCGCAGGCGGUCGCUCAAGUCGCGUGUGAAAGCCCCCGGCUCAACUGGGGAGGGUCACGCGAUACUGAUCACUGGAAGGCAGGAGAGGGGUAGUGGAAUUCCCGGUGUAGUGGUGAAAUGCGUAGAUAUCGGGAGGAACACCAGUGGCGAAGGCGGACUACCUGGCCUGUUCUUGACGCUGAGGCGCGAAAGCUAGGGGAGCAAACGGGGGAUUAAGAAACCCGGGAUAGC